rnacentral:rRNA from 1 species
UACGAAGGGGCUAGCGUUGCUCGGAAUCACUGGGCGUAAAGGGUGCGUAGGCGGGUCUUUAAGUCAGGGUGAAAUCCUGGAGCUCAACUCCAGAACUGCCUUUGAUACUGAAGAUCUUGAGUUCGGGAGAGGUGAGUGGAACUGCGAGUGUAGAGGUGAAAUUCGUAGAUAUUCGCAAGAACACCAGUGGCGAAGGCGGCUCACUGGCCCGAGUACUGACGCUGAGGCACGAAAGCGUGGGGAGCA